GAAAAUUGCUUGCAUGUGUUCAUCUCUGAAUGAGCUGUGAACAGCUAGUUUCUGCAGAACUUCUCUCCUUACUUUAGCAGUCUGCCCAUCGACAUGUACAGUAUUAGAGUUUGCACGGAGGGUUUAUUAAUGUUCCCUUCCACCAUCAUCAGAAAUGAGGGAGCCUUAUGGUAUCUGUAAUCGUGCUUGUACCAGGUCUCAUGGAGUAAGUAAUGACGUUAUGAUGGGCCUCAGCUACACUUUGACAGAUAUUAUACACGUUAAACAUUAUGAGCAGGCUGAUGUUAGCAUUUAGCUGCACCUAUGUACACUACCGGUCAAAAGUUUCAGAACACCCCAAUUUUUCUAUUUUUUUAUUGGAAAUUAUCCACGUUAAUGUCUCAUUGUACUCAAAUAAACAAAUGAAUUUGAAAGAAAACCAUUUAGAAAUCAAAAUGUAUUCUAAACUUUUGACUCAUCAAAGUACCACCUUUGGCAGAUCUAACAGCUGAACUCACUCAUUCAUUCCACAAUUAAAAUCAAAUAAUCUUCAGAGAGUUCUUCCAACUCUGUAGCAGAAGUUCCCAUAAAUGUGUGGUUCUUGUAGGUUCUUUGCUUUCACUCUUCUGUCCAUUUCAUCCAAACCAGCUCCAUGGGGCUUAAGUCUGGAGCCUUUUGAUGGAGAAGAAAACUGGACUUUCUGACACGUAGACUCCUUCACAGUUUCUCUGUAGGAAACACCUACAUCUGUAAGUGUUCUGAUGGUCUGUCUCUCCUCUAUUGUUAAUUACCUUUUCUUUGCUAUUUUUAUAGCAACACACUACUUUCCGCAGUACAAUCCUGUUCUAAUAAUGCUCUGGAGGGUUCCACAGUGUGUUCCAACACUACUUCAUGCAGGCAGAGGGGGUUGGAAGUAAUCUAGUAAAGUCGGGACUCCUGUAGGAUUUGGUAGCUCCAACUUUCAAGGCUUGAUCAACCUCCAUUGCUGCAGAACAGCUUUAAAUUGUUAACCCGUUUCUUCAGGCUGUCAGGGCUCCCUCCUCUGUCCCAGCUCCAGCCCCACCUGACCUCCCUCAUCCUCCCUCUCUCCACCUUCCUGCUGAAACCUGGCAGAGCUGCUCUGUCCAGCUGCUGUGCAUCUCUAAUCAGUCAUCAGCAGAACUCUGGGCAGCUGUGGUGCAGCAGCACACCUGUGGACAGCACACCUGUGAUCCAUCUCCUCCAUAGAAGCCGCUCUCACACUCCACACCCUGCCAGCUCCGCUGGCCCAGCUGCCCGGUCCUACCAGUCCUGCCUCUCGUCUCCUGUACUCUGGAUCCCACCCUGACCAGACCUCCCCCCCGUGGACUCACUCCCCCCCCAUCUGCUCCUGGAUCCCCAACUCAUCUUGGAGGUUCUCUAUCUGCCGUGUUUCCCCCCUUGUCCCUGGAAACAUCCUGCCUGCUGCCCUCUGGAACGUGGCACUCCUGGACGCUCUCCACCGCCAACCAACACCCCACCACAGAGAACACCAACCGGGCCGCCGGUUCCUGGUACAGUCACCCCCCACCCUCCCCUGUUAGUUUAGUUCUUUAGUUAUCCUGGACCUCAGUUUCUCCCCCCAUCCAUUAUUCCCCUGCUAUUUUGUUAAUGAAGUCUGCCUUUGUUCCUGCCUCAGUUCCUCGUCUGUGUGCUCUCUGCUCGGGUUCACCCCACGCUGUGACACAGGCCUUUUGUAUAAUUCUGAAAUGUACAUUAUUUUUCAGUUUUGGGUAACCUGACCUUUUUUAACCUCUGGCAGUUCACCACUUACCUUUGGACCAUUUCAAGCUAUUCACUGGACUUGAACUACUUGAAUUUCGAUGUUAAAAAAUGUAAAAACUGGGGCGUUGUAAAACUUUUGGGGGGUAGUGUAGGCUGUAGACAUUUAAACAUGUAUCUUUGGAAGACAUUUUGUCUUCAGCAUUUGAAAAAGUGAAAUAAUGGGCUGUUUAAUUUGUGCUGUGAGUGAUUAUUAUUGGCAGUAAUUAGUUGUCUGGUGUCUUUGGAAGAUGCACAGAGAUACAGAAAGGUGUCAUCUGCACAACUAUUGAACUGUACCCACAAUGCCAGGUUGUAGCUUUCACUUAUUAAAAAGCCACGUAGAGCCGUGUGGUACACCACUGAAACUGGAGGAAUUGGAGGACAACAAGACUAGAAAAGACAAAAAAUGAUCAAUCUGUGACGUGAAACACAUUCCUUUAAACAUAAUGUUGUCCCUUUUUUAAAGAUUAUUGUAAUCAAAAAUGGAAAACAAAAUCACAGUUUAUUGACUUCCAAACAAGAUAACCAAAUUCAAAAACAUUCUAGUUUAGGUUUCAAAAAAUAUGUUUUUAAAAAGUGCUAUAUGUGAUUACUUAACACCUAAAAAGAUGUUUUUUCCCAUUUUUUUUUUUUUUUUUAAUUUGACCAUCAUUUGGCUUUUUUUCUUAAAAUUAAAUGUGUUUGUGAUUAAUAUGAGGCACAGUGUUUAAUUGAGGGCAAAUUAUAGUGUAUCUCUGACAAUAGCUUAAUGCUCACUGGGAUGAAUUUUUCAUUUAAAGUGAGUUUAAAGUUUGUGUUUGCUGAAGUUCUUUUAAAACUAGAAUGGAAAGAAUACAAUGGCUAAUUUAAAAGUUGGUUAAACCCGUUCAGAUUUCUGCUAAAUGCUCCUUUGAGUCUGACAAGGUCACAUUUUCUCUGCAUGUGCUCCUUAUCUAGUUUAGUUAAGCUCUGUGUAUGACAGAAAGAGAGAAGAUAAUGACAGAAAAUCAGAAGUUUUAAAUCAAUUUUGAGGAAGCAAACUUUUUCUCUCUCAUUCUCACAUGCAGUAAUUCAUCAUUUGAACUUUUAAAGCUGCUAGAAACUCCACAAGCUCAAAAAGCAAAGAUAAAUGCAAGAUCAGACUGCGACCAACAGUGGAGGAAAAGAUUGUAGAACACAGGCACAAUUAAAACAGAGAAGAAAAUCCAAAGUAAAACAUGAGACUGUGCUUACCGCUAAGAGCUAACAGCAUCAGCAUUAGCCCCAUGAACCUCAGAGAGAGCUGCUGGGAUGCCAUCUUGUAGACACUCAGUCUUUCCAAAGCUCCUGUAAGGCAACAACUGUGCAUAAACUGCUUCACAACCAGAGGGAAGAGUGGGCGGCAACCCAGACUUUCCAAGUGGAAACUGGCCUGUGGCGCUGGAAUGUCUUUCACCUCCCUGCCUACAGAAACAUCCUGCAACUGGAAGCUUUUCUGCACUUAAAAGAAUUUCCAUGUGUGUCUCAGGUACUUUUCCAGCAGGAUAGAAUGGAGGGGGGAGGCUGAACACCAGUUUAUCAUGCAGUUUCAUUUAGUUGAAAUAUGCAGGAUUUUAGAAAACGUUGCGGAAUCUGAUGGGGGAGCUGCAGUAAACAGGAUUUUCUGCAGUUGUAAAGUUAGACUCUUGCUGGAUUUUUACACAUGUUGCAGGAAACUUUCAGGGCUACAGUUUUUGAUUUAUUUGUAUACUUUACCCUCCUGUUAUCUUCAUUUACGGGCAUCAAAAAAUAUUGUUUCCUUGUCUGAAAAAAUCCAAAAGUUCAGCAAAAAAAUUCCCCAAAUUUCUGAAUAUUUGCAAAAUUUCAGAAAGAAAAUUCCAAUAAUUCCUUAACAGUUUCUCUUAAAAAAUUUUAUUUUAAAAAAUCCGCCAAAUGUGGCAAGAAAAUUCUCGUUAUAUAUUUUCUAAAAAUUAGUAAAAAUCUUCCAAAAAAUCCUAAAAAUAUCUAUAGUGAUUCCAUAUAUAUCAGUAAAACUUCUAAUGUUUUCUUUAAGAACAUUCAAAUAAAAAUCCAGUGAAAUUCACUGGAUUUUGGUAGAUUUUUAUGUGAAUGUUCUUAGGAAACAUUUUGAACAUUUCUUUUAUUCCACCAAAAAAAUGUUCAAAGAUUUCCCAAAAAUGUUGAAAAUGUGGACAUCAGAAGUUUCACUGUGAAAAUAUAUUUUUCCCCCACAUUCUCAAAGGUUAAAAUGGGUAAAUUUUGACCCACAGGACGACACAAGGGUUAACUAAAUGACCUGAGGAGAAACUGACCAACAGUUAAAUAUCUAAUAUCUUGUUUCAAACAUCAGUAACUUACCAGGUGCCUGCAUGGAGGACAGGGAGUGCUGCCAGGAUGGAGCGACAUGAAUGUAAAUCGUCUGCCUCAGGUGCUGCAGAAUGAGUUGAACACAGCAUGAAUCCCAAAUAUUUCAAUUUAAUCUCAUGUAUAUUUUUCCACAUUUCAGUUCAACCAACUCAGAAUAGGUUUUGGUGCUUGUUGCUUCUCCUGGAUGUUUCAGCUUUACUGUACAAAGUGAUGUAGUUUGACUGUGGAUAAUUAAUUUGUGGUGAAUGAAAUGUUUCUGUUCAAUCACCUAAAACAUAACUUUACAGUUUAGUUUAGACGGGAAUUGAACUGGUGUGAUGUGAAAACUUGAAGUCUGGUUUUUACACAUAAUCAGACUGAUGGAGGAAGCAUCAUGUAUCCAGCCGUUAAACCUCUGAUCAGAAAUAUAAUAACAUAUUCAUAGGUUCAGGAAGGAGGCAAAGAUGUUAUUUCAAAAAUUUUUAACCAGCUAAUUGAACUUUUUUUCAUGGAAAAACUACACCAGAUGUACAUUACUAUACAAAAUAGAGCAUUUUUGUAUUUUUCAAACAUGCCUAAAGAAGAUCUUUAAUGACAAACCUUUGGUCCUGUUUGUCCACUUCUUCCUGCUGCUUCAGUUCAGCUUCGUGUACGCUUUUAUCUUGUGUUAAUCUCAUCUUAAUUCCAUUCACAGAUAGUUUCAAGUUCCCAAGUUGCAAAGAAAGCGCUUCCUCAGUUGAAUGGAAAUCAGAUCAUAGGCCAAAAAAACUUUUCUAGCUUGCCGGUUUGUUUUCUUGUUGUGCAGCCAACAGCACAUGCUUGGUAGUGUUUCCCCAGCUGGCUCUGCCUCAGUAAAUGGGAUGAUGUUCCACUAAAAAAAAUGUUGCUUUCCUGAACUCUGCAGUGUCUUUAAUGUUUCUUUGCAGUUGUAGAGAUCGUUGGCACUGGAUCCUUUCCUUCACAUCAUGUGGAUGCCUGAUCAGAUUUGGAUCUGGGAGUUUUGGAAGUCUUACCGAAGCCCUGAGCUCCUGGUUGUGUUCCUCAAAUCAUUUCUGUGUGGUGGGGGGCAACACGAUUCACAGGAGAACUUUACAUUGUAGUGAGAUGAUCGAUUCCAUAAUGAGUGGUAGAGUGGCUAAUCGGAGUAUAUUCGAAGGGUCAAUCUAUAACUGAGGGACUUUUGAAGUCCAUGGGAUAUAUCUGCAUGCAUUUUUAUUGAAAGUAAAAUAAAUAUAUUUUUAUGUUCAUUAUGAUCAUGUCUUUACAAGUCAUAUAAUUAUUUAUUAUGGAAACAGUCACUUAUUAAUAAAUGACUGGAUAUCACUAAAAUGUCAACUAAAUAAGCGUCUGAAUUUAAUACCAACCACCUUCUAAUGAGCUAAAAAAUAAUAAAAUGAGCUGAUUCAGAAAUA